AGACUGCUAGGUUUAGCUUCAGGGGCAGCCCAGGGCAGUGUUGCUGCAUAUUGCAUGGAUGAAAGGCUGAAGGCUGCCUCCUCUUGCAGGCUGGCUUCUGAGAUUGCACCUUCUUCUCCUGCUACUCCUCCAAAUCUAUGACCCUUCAAGAAAAGUAGCCAGCCAGGCAUGGUGGCGUGCACCUGUAAUCCCAGCUACUCGGGAGGCUGAGGCAGGAGAAUCGCUUGAACCCAGGAGGCGGAGGUUGUGGUGAGCCAAGAUCACAGCAUUGCACUCCAGCCUGGGCAACAAGAGCAAAACUCUGUCUCAAAAAAAAAAAAAAAAAGAAAAGAAAAAAGAAAAGCAGGCAGAGCUGACCUGUCCGGUAAUCAAGGCAAUGCAGCCGGCCGCCUAGCUACAGUUCACGAGCCAGUUGUCACCCAGUGGGCGGUGCAUCCUCCAGCCCCCGCUCACCCCAGUCUCCUGGACAAAAUGGAGAAAGCGCCUCCACAGCCCCAGCACGAGGGCCUCAAGUCCAAGGAGCAUCUUCCGCAACAG
rnacentral:lncRNA from 10 species